rnacentral:rRNA from 1 species
GAUGAACGCUGGCGGCGUGCCUAAUACAUGCAAGUCGAGCGAACAGACGAGGAGCUUGCUCCUCUGACGUUAGCGGCGGACGGGUGAGUAACACGUGGAUAACCUACCUAUAAGACUGGGAUAACUUCGGGAAACCGGAGCUAAUACCGGAUAAUAUAUUGAACCGCAUGGUUCAAUAGUGAACGACGGUUUUGCUGUCACUUAUAGAUGGAUCCGCGCCGCAUUAGCUAGUUGGUAAGGUAACGGCUUACCAAGGCAACGAUGCGUAGCCGACCUGAGAGGGUGAUCGGCCACACUGGAACUGAGACACGGUCCAGACUCCUACGGGAGGCAGCAGUAGGGAAUCUUCCGCAAUGGGCGAAAGCCUGACGGAGCAACGCCGCGUGAGUGAUGAAGGUCUUCGGAUCGUAAAACUCUGUUAUUAGGGAGGAACAAAUGUGUAAGUAACUAUGCACGUCUUGACGGUACCUAAUCAGAAAGCCACGGCUAACUACGUG